UAGGGAAUCUUCCACAAUGGACGCAAGUCUGAUGGAGCAACGCCGCGUGAGUGAAGAAGGUUUUCGGAUCGUAAAGCUCUGUUGUUGGUGAAGAAGGAUAGAGGCAGUAACUGGUCUUUAUUUGACGGUAAUCAACCAGAAAGUCACGGCUAACUACGUGCCAGCAGCCGCGGUAAUACGUAGGUGGCAAGCGUUGUCCGGAUUUAUUGGGCGUAAAGCGAGCGCAGGCGGAAUGAUAAGUCUGAUGUGAAAGCCCACGGCUCAACCGUGGAACUGCAUCGGAAACUGUCAUUCUUGAGUGCAGAAGAGGAGAGUGGAACUCCAUGUGUAGCGGUGGAAUGCGUAGAUAUAUGGAAGAACACCAGUGGCGAAGGCGGCUCUCUGGUCUGCAACUGACGCUGAGGCUCGAAAGCAUGGGUAGCGAACAGGAUUAGAUACCCUGGUAGUCCA
rnacentral:rRNA from 1 species